AGAGUUUGAUCCUGGCUCAGGAUAAACGCUGGCGGCGCACAUAAGACAUGCAAGUCGAACGAACUUAACCAUUAGUUUACUAUUGGAGCGGUUAGUGGCGGACUGGUGAGUAACACGUAAGCAACCUGCCUAUCAGAGGGGAACAACAGUUAGAAAUGACUGCUAAUACCGCAUAUGCCUUGAGUAUCACAUGGUACAAAAGGGAAAGGAGCAAUCCGCUGAUAGAUGGGCUUGCGUCUGAUUAGAUAGUUGGUGAGGUAACGGCCCACCAAGUCGACGAUCAGUAGCCGGACUGAGAGGUUGAACGGCCACAUUGGGACUGAGAUACGGCCCAGACUCCUACGGGAGGCAGCAGUCGGGAAUAUUGCGCAAUGGAGGAAACUCUGACGCAGUGACGCCGCGUGCAGGAAGAAGGUUUUCGGAUUGUAAACUGCUUUAGACAGGGAAGAAACAAGACAGUACCUAGAAUAAGCUCCGGCUAACUACGUGCCAGCAGCCGCGGUAAUACGUAGGGAGCAAGCGUUAUCCGGAUUUAUUGGGUGUAAAGGGUGCGUAGACGGGAAAUUAAGUUAGUUGUGAAAUCCCUCGGCUUAACUGAGGAACUGCAACUAAAACUGGUUUUCUUGAGUGCUGGAGAGGAAAGUGGAAUUCCUAGUGUAGCGGUGAAACGCGUAGAUAUUAGGAGGAACACCAGUGGCGAAGGCGACUCUCUGGACAGUAACUGACGUUGAGGCACGAAAGUGUGGGGAGCAAACAGGAUUAGAUACCCUGGUAGUCCACACCGUAAACGAUGGAUACUAGGUGUAGGGUGUGAUAAACAUUCUGUGCCGUCGCAAACGCAGUAAGUAUCCCACCUGGGGAGUACGGCCGCAAGGUUGAAACUCAAAGGAAUUGACGGGGGCCCGCACAAGCAGUGGAGUAUGUGGUUUAAUUCGACGCAACGCGAAGAACCUUACCAGGGCUUGACAUAUACAUGAAAGUCUAAGAGAUUAGACCCCUCUUCGGAGCGUGUAUUCAGGUGGUGCAUGGUUGUCGUCAGCUCGUGUCGUGAGAUGCUGGGUUAAGUCCCGCAACGAGCGCAACCCCUGUUCUUAGUUACCAGCGAGUUAAGUCGGGAACUCUAAGAAGACUGCCGGUGAUAAAUCGGAGGAAGGUGGGGACGACGUCAAAUCGUCAUGCCCUUUAUGUCCUGGGCUACACACGUACUACAAUGGCUGUAACAAAGGGAAGCUAAGCCGCGAGGUGGAGCAAAACCCAAAAAAGCAGUCUCAGUUCGGAUUGAAGGCUGAAAUUCGCCUUCAUGAAGCCGGAAUUGCUAGUAAUGGCAGGUCAGCAUACUGCCGUGAAUACGUUCCCGGGCCUUGUACACACCGCCCG
rnacentral:rRNA from 1 species